ACCAGACUCCUACGGGAGGCAGCAGUGGGGAAUAUUGCACAAUGGGGGAAACCUUGAUGCAGCGACGCCGCGUGAGUGAAGAAGUAUUUCGGUAUGUAAAGCUCUCUCAGCAGGGAAGAAAAUGACGGUACCUGACUAAGAAGCCCCGGCUAACUACGUGCCAGCAGCCGCGGUAAUACGUAGGGGGCAAGCGUUAUCCGGAUUUACUGGGUGUAAAGGGAGCGUAGACGGCAUGGCAAGUCAGAUGUGAAAGCCCGGGGCUCAACCCCGGGACUGCUCUUGGAACUGCGUGGCUGGAGUGCAGGAGGGGCAGGUGGAAUUCCUGGUGUAGCGGUGAAAUGCGUAGAUAUCAGGAGGAACACCGGUGGCGAAGGCGGCCUGCUGGACUGCAACUGACGUUGAGGCCCGAAAGCGUGGGGAGCAAACAGGAUUAGAUACCCGCGUA
rnacentral:rRNA from 1 species